AUUGAACGCUGGCGGCAGGCCUAACACAUGCAAGUCUAACGAUCGGCGGACGGGUGAGUAAUGUCUGGGAAACUGCCUGAUGGAGGGGGAUAACUACUGGAAACGGUAGCUAAUACCGCAUACCAUCGGAUGUGCCCAGAUGGGCUUAGCUAGUAGUUGGGGUAACGGCUCACCUAGGCGACGAUCCCUAGCUGGUCUGAGAGGAUGACCAGCCACACUGGAACUGAGACACGGUCCAGACUCCUACGGGAGGAAGCAGUGGGGAAUAUUGCACAAUGGGCGCAAGCCUGAUGCAGCCAUGCCGCGUGUGUGAAGAAGGCCUUCGGGUUGUAAAGCACUUUCAGCGGGGAGGCGUUACUCGCAGAAGAAGCACCGGCUAACUCCGUGCCAGCAGCCGCGGUAAUAC
rnacentral:rRNA from 1 species